CCGUUGCCGGCGACCGGCGCACGGGUGAGUAACACGUAUGCAACCUGCCCGUGGCAGGGGGGAGUAAAGCGGGGGAAACCCCGUCUAAUACCGCGUAACGCGGCCUAGGGACAUCCCAAGGCCGCCAAAGGGAGCAAUCCCGGCCACGGAUGGGCAUGCGGCGCAUUAGCUAGUCGGCGGGGUAACGGCCCACCGAGGCGACGAUGCGUAGGGGUUCUGAGAGGAAGGCCCCCCACACUGGUACUGAGACACGGACCAGACUCCUACGGAAGGCAGCAG
rnacentral:rRNA from 1 species